GGGUUUCCCUCAAGGAUGUCCCUGGAGAAUCCCUGAGAGGCGUGGGGACCACCUUCCCUGCAAGGAGAUGCCUCCUGAGUGCGUGGUCCUUACUGUCCUCCGCGCUCAGGAAGGUAGUCGUCCAGCUUAGAGAGAGGCCCACCGCCCUUCCGAUGUCCUCAGAUGGGAAAAUCGCAAAGCGCUCUGGGUGCUGCGACCCCUCCCACCGCUGCAGGCCCAGGAGAAGGCAAGGACUACAGCAAACUGCUCUCCACAGAUUCCUGCGUCCGCUGGAAUCUGCUUCUGUUUGACCUCCUCGGCCCUGCAUUAUCCCAACGACAAUGGCAGCUUUAUCUUGGCCUGGUGGUGGUGGUGGCAGCGGCGGCGGCGGCGGCGGCG